rnacentral:rRNA from 1 species
ACGGUCCUAAGGUAGCGAAAUUCCUUGUCGGGUAAGUUCCGACCUGCACGAAUGGCAUAAUGAUGGCCAGGCUGUCUCCACCCGAGACUCAGUGAAAUUGAAAUCGCCGUGAAGAUGCGGUGUACCCGCGGCUAGACGGAAAGACCCCGUGAACCUUUACUAUAGCUUGACACUGAACAUUGAAUUUUGAUGUGUAGGAUAGGUGGGAGACUUAGAAGAUGAUACGCCAGUAUUGUUGGAGUCGUCCUUGAAAUACCACCCUUUAACGUUUGAUGUUCUAACGAAGAUUACGAAACGUGGUCUCGGACAGUGUCUGGUGGGUAGUUUGACUGGGGCGGUCUCCUCCCAAAGAGUAACGGAGGAGCACGAAGGUUUGCUAAUGACGGUCGGACAUCGUCAGGUUAGUGCAAUGGUAUAAGCAAGCUUAACUGCGAGACAGACAAGUCGAGCAGGUACGAAAGUAGGUCAUAGUGAUCCGGUGGUUCUGAAUGGAAGGGCCAUCGCUCAACGGAUAAAAGGUACUCCGGGGAUAACAGGCUGAUACCGCCCAAGAGUUCAUAUCGACGGCGGUGUUUGGCACCUCGAUGUCGGCUCAUCUCAUCCUGGGGCUGUAGCCGGUCCCAAGGGUAUGGCUGUUCGCCAUUUAAAGAGGUACGUGAGCUGGGUUUAAAACGUCGUGAGACAGUUUUGUCCCUAUCUGCCGUGGGCGCUGGAAGAUUGACGGGGGCUGCUCCUAGUACGAGAGGACCGGAGUGGACUCACCUCUGGUGUACCGGUUGUCACGCCAGUGGCAUCGCCGGGUAGCUAUGUGGGGAAAGGAUAACCGCUGAAAGCAUCUAAGUGGGAAACCUGCCUGAAGAUAAGUCUUCCUGGAGGCUUGACCUCCCUAAAGAGUCGUUCGAGACCAGGACGUUGAUAGGUUGGGUGUGUAAGCGCUGUAAGGCGUUAAGCUAACCAAUACUAAUUGCUCGUGCAGCUUGAUCCU